AUUGAACGCUGGCGGCAGGCCUAACACAUGCAAGUCGAGCGGGAUUUACCUUCGGGUAAUGAGAGCGGCGGACGGGUGAGUAAUGCUUGGGAAUCUACCUAGUAGUGGGGGACAACAGUUGGAAACGACUGCUAAUACCGCAUACGCCCUACGGGGGAAAGGGGGGGAUCUUCGGACCUCUUGCUAUCAGAUGAGCCAAAGUCGGAUUAGCUAGUUGGUGGGGUAAAGGCCUACCAAGGCGACGAUCCGUAGCUGGUUUGAGAGGAUGAUCAGCCACACUGGGACUGAGACACGGCCCAGACUCCUACGGGAGGCAGCAGUGGGGAAUAUUGGACAAUGGGCGCAAGCCUGAUCCAGCCAUGCCGCGUGUGUGAAGAAGGCCCUAGGGUUGUAAAGCACUUUAAGUAGGGAGGAAGGUCUGGUAAUUAAUACUUAUCAGGAUUGACGUUACCUACAGAAUAAGCACCGGCUAACUCCGUGCCAGCAGCCGCGGUAA
rnacentral:rRNA from 1 species